rnacentral:rRNA from 1 species
GUCGAGCGAUGAAGCUCCUUCGGGAGUGGAUUAGCGGCGGACGGGUGAGUAACACGUGGGUAACCUGCCUCAUAGAGGGGAAUAGCCUUUCGAAAGGAAGAUUAAUACCGCAUAAGAUUGUAGUACCGCAUGGUACAGCAAUUAAAGGAGUAAUCCGCUAUGAGAUGGACCCGCGUCGCAUUAGCUAGUUGGUGAGGUAACGGCUCACCAAGGCGACGAUGCGUAGCCGACCUGAGAGGGUGAUCGGCCACAUUGGGACUGAGACACGGCCCAGACUCCUACGGGAGGCAGCAGUGGGGAAUAUUGCACAAUGGGGGAAACCCUGAUGCAGCAACGCCGCGUGAGUGAUGACGGUCUUCGGAUUGUAAAGCUCUGUCUUUAGGGACGAUAAUGACGGUACCUAAGGAGGAAGCCACGGCUAACUACGUGCCAGCAGCCGCGGUAAUACGUAGGUGGCAAGCGUUGUCCGGAUUUACUGGGCGUAAAGGGA